rnacentral:rRNA from 1 species
UGGCGGCGUGCCUAACACAUGCAAGUCGAGCGAAUGAAGUUUCUUCGGGAACGGAUUUAGCGGCGGACGGGUGAGUAACACGUGGGCAACCUGCCUCAUAGAGGGGAAUAGCCUUCCGAAAGGGAGAUUAAUACCGCAUAAGAUUGUAGUACCGCAUGGUACAGCAAUUAAAGGAGCAAUCCGCUAUGAGAUGGGCCCGCGGCGCAUUAGCUAGUUGGUGAGGUAACGGCUCACCAAGGCGACGAUGCGUAGCCGACCUGAGAGGGUGAUCGGCCACAUUGGGACUGAGACACGGCCCAGACUCCUACGGGAGGCAGCAGUGGGGAAUAUUGCACAAUGGGGGAAACCCUGACGCAGCAACGCCGCGUGAAGGAUGAAGGUCUUCGGAUUGUAAACUUUUGUCUUAUGGGAAGAAAAAAAUGACGGUACCAUAGGAGGAAGCCACGGCUAACUACGUG